GUGGCGAACGGGUGAGUAACACGUGAGUAACCUGCCCUUGACUCUGGGAUAACUGCUAGAAAUGGUAGCUAAUACCGGAUACGACCCUCGGCCGCAUGGUCAGGGGGUGGAAAGAAUUUUGGUCAAGGAUGGACUCGCGGCCUAUCAGGUAGUUGGUGAGGUAAUGGCUCACCAAGCCUACGACGGGUAGCCGGCCUGAGAGGGUGACCGGCCACACUGGGACUGAGACACGGCCCAGACUCCUACGGGAGGCAGCAGUGGGGAAUAUUGCACAAUGGGCGCAAGCCUGAUGCAGCAACGCCGCGUGAGGGACGACGGCCUUCGGGUUGUAAACCUCUUUUAGUAGGGAAGAAGCGACUGGGUUUUCCUGGGAGUGACGGUACCUGCAGAAAAAGCACCGGCUAACUACGUGCCAGCAGCCGCGGUAAUACGUAGGGUGCAAGCGUUGUCCGGAAUUAUUGGGCGUAAAGAGCUCGUAGGCGGUUUGUCGCGUCUGCUGUGAAAACCCGAGGCUCAACCUCGGGCCUGCAGUGGGUACGGGCAGACUAGAGUGCGGUAGGGGAGAUUGGAAUUCCUGGUGUAGCGGUGGAAUGCGCAGAUAUCAGGAGGAACACCAAUGGCGAAGGCAGACCUCUGGGCCGUAACUGACG
rnacentral:rRNA from 1 species